rnacentral:rRNA from 1 species
AAUUAAAUAUUAUAGUCUAAUAAAUUAUUAAAAAUUUAUAUUGGUUAAAAACAUUUUUAAAUUUAGUAAGAGUGAUAGAAAAUUAUUAAAUAGACCUAAAAAAGUACCGUGAGGGAAUUAGUUUAAUUAAAAAAUAAAAAAACUUAAUGUUUGUACCUUUAGCAUCAUGGUUUAGCUAGAUAUAUAUUUUCUCUUAAAUUUCUCGAAAUCUAAUGAGUUAUUUUUAUUCAAUAUAUUAGUAUAAAAGAGUAGUUGUAGCAAAAACUUUCUUAGAAAUAAAAAUGGAAAUGAAAUUUUAUUCGUAUUAGAUGAUAGCUAGUUUUUCUGUAAAAGUAUAUAAGUACUUUAAAUUAAUUUAAUUUCUAUAAAUCACUUUAUAAAAAGAAUUUAAUUUAGUUAAAUUUUCGAGGAUAAGCUCGAAAAUUAAAAGUAUAUUUGUAUUAUAUUUUUAUUAAAAUUUAGGCUUGAAAAUAGCCAUAAUUUUGAGUUUGUUAUAAUUUAUUAAAUAACUAAAAAAACAAUUGAUUUACUUAUAACUACAGAGAAGAAUUUAAUAAUUAAAUUAAGUUACAUUAAUGCUAAAAUGAGUAUUAGAGUAUUUUAUAUUUUUUUAGCAAUUUAUCAGCUAAAAUUUAUAUUUAUUUAUAACACGAAAAUUAUAAAAAGGAACUCGGCAAAUACUCAUUCUGCCUGUUUAGCAAAAACAUGGCUCCUUGAAAGCCUUGAUAAUAAGGAGUCGGACCUGCCCAGUGAAUUUUUUAACGGCCGCGGUACUCUGACCGUGCAAAGGUAGCAUAAUCAUUUGCCUUAUAAUUGAAGGCUAGUAUGAAUGGUUUGACAAGAAUGAAGCUGUCUCUUUAUAAUUUAAUAGAAUUUUACUUUUAGGUGAAGAGGCCUGAAUAAGAUUAAAAGACAAGAAGACCCUAUCGAGCUUGAAAAAAAUUAGUAGAAUUAGUUAAUUAAUAUUUAUAAAAAAUUGUCUAUUAAAUAUUUUAGUUGGGGCGACUGAGGAACAUAAAAAGCUUCCUUUAAAUAAAAUUAACUGAAAUCAAACUAGAUUUGAUCCAAAAUAUUUUGAUUAAAGAAAUUAGUUACCGUAGGGAUAACAGCAUUAUCUUUUUCAAGAGCUCAUAUCGAAAAAAAGGUUUGUGACCUCGAUGUUGGACCAGAAUAUCCUAAAGGUGCAGCAGUCUUUAAGGGUUGGUCUGUUCGACCAUUAAAAUUCUACGUGAUCUGAGUUCAGACCGGCGUGAGCCAGGUCAGUUUCUAUCUUUAAUUAUUCUGAUAAAUUUAGUACGAAAGGACCAAUUUAUCGUAAAAUAAUAUUUCUUAUUGAUUAAAUUUAAUUGAACAUUAAAU